rnacentral:rRNA from 1 species
GGAGGAAGGUGGGGAUGACGUCAGGUCAUCAUGGCCCUUACGGCCAGGGCUACACACGUGCUACAAUGGUAGUGACAAUGGGUUAAUCCCAAAAAGCUAUCUCAGUUCGGAUUGGGGUCUGCAACUCGACCCCAUGAAGUCGGAGUCGCUAGUAAUCGCAGAUCAGCAACGCUGCGGUGAAUACGUUCCCGGGCCUUGUACACACCGCCCGUCACACCAUGGGAG